rnacentral:rRNA from 1 species
CCGACAAGCGGUGGAGCAUGUGGUUUAAUUCGAAGCAACGCGAAGAACCUUACCAGGCCUUGACAUGCAGAGAACUUUCCAGAGAUGGAUUGGUGCCUUCGGGAGCUCUGACACAGGUGCUGCACGGGCUGUCGUCAGCUCGUGUCGUGAGAUGUUGGGUUAAGUCCGCUAACGAGCGCAACCCUCGUCGUAUGUUAUAUGUGUCAUACGAGACUGCCGGUAAAAGCCGGAGGAAGGUGAGGAUGAUGUCAAGUCAGCAUGACCUUUAUAUCCAGGGCUACACACACGCUACAAUGGUCUGUACAAUGGGUAGCCAAGCCGCGAGGCGGAGCCAAUCCUGAAAGCAGGCCUCAGUUCAGAUUGCAGUCUGCAACUCGACUGCAUGAAGCCGGAGUUGCUAGUAACCGCAGGUCAGCAAUACUGCGGUGAAUACGUUCCCGGGUCUU